rnacentral:rRNA from 1 species
UCCGGUUGAUCCCGCCAGAGGCCACUGCUGUUGGGGUUCGGCUAAGCCAUGCGAGUGGUGGGCGCGAUCGCAAGGUCGUGGCCCCGCAUACGGCUCAGUAACACGUCGUCAACCCACCCUCGGGAUCGGGACAACCUCGGGAAACUGAGGACAAUCCCGGAUAGGGUACGGAGGCUGGAAUGCACUGUUCCCAAAAACCGGCGGGUAAAACCGCGCGGGCCCGAGGACGGGACGGCGGCCUAUCAGGUUGUUGGUGGUGUAGCGGACCACCAAGCCUACGACGGGUACGGGCGAUGGGAGUCGGAGCCUGGAGAUGGGGACUGAGACAAGGCCCCAGGCCCUACGGGGCGCAUCAGGCGCGAAAACUUCGCAAUGCGCGAAAGCGUGACGGGGGAACCCCAAGUGCCGCUGGCUGUCGGCGGCUUUUAGGGAGUGUAAGAAGCUCUCAGAAUAAGGGCUGGGCAAGUCGGGUGCCAGCCGCCGCGGUAAUACCCGCAGCCCAAGUGGUGGCCGCGAUUAUUGGGCCUAAAGCGCUCGUAGCCGGGUCUGCAAGUCCCUUGUGAAAUCGGCCGGCAAACCGGCCGGCUUGCAAGGGAUACUGCAAGCCUAGAGACCGGGGGACGCCGAGGGUACUCCGGGGGUAGCGGUGAAAUGCUGUAAUCCUCGGAGGACCACCAGUGGCGAAGGCGCUCGGCGAAAACGGAUCUGACGGUGAGGGGCGAAGGCUAGGGGAGCGAACGGGAUUAUAUACCCCGGUAGUCCUAGCAGUAAAGCAUGCGCGACAGUGCUAGGAGUCCUUAGGGGGCGCCUGGUGCCGGAGGGAGCCGUUAACCCGCCGUCUGCCACUACGGUCGCAAGGCUGAUACUUUCGAAUUGAGGGGAGCACACAAGGGUGGGACUGCGCUCAAUGAGUCACGCCGG